AUACGGAGGGUGCAAGCGUUAAUCGGAAUUACUGGGCGUAAAGCGUACGUAGGCGGUUUAUUAAGUCAGAUGUGAAAGCCCCGGGCUUAACCUGGGAACUGCAUUUGAAACUAGUAGACUAGAGUAUGGUAGAGGGGGGUAGAAUUCCUAGUGUAGCGGUGAAAUGCGUAGAUAUUAGGAGGAAUACCAGUGGCGAAGGCGGCCCCCUGGACCAAUACUGACGCUGAGGUACGAAAGCGUGGGGAGCGAACAGGAUUAGAAACCCCAGUAGUCC
rnacentral:rRNA from 1 species